rnacentral:rRNA from 1 species
CAGGCUACUCAUUCCAACAAGAUGCAUCUUUCUUUUAGGGAGUUUAUUUCCUUAGUACUCCACAGUUAAGCGUGCUUGGCUGGGAGUAGUCCCGGGAUGGGUGACCUCUUGGGAAGUUUCUCGGGGUGCGCAUGA